rnacentral:rRNA from 1 species
UACGAGGGGGGCAAGCGUUGUCCGGAAGUAUUGGGCGUAAAGAGCUCGUAGGCGGUCUGUUGCGUCCGCUGUGAAAACCCAGGGCUUAACCCUGGGCUGGCAGUGGAUACGGACAGACUAGAGGUAGGUAGGGGAGAAUGGAAUUCCCGGUGUAGCGGUGAAAUGCGCAGAUAUCGGGAGGAACACCGGUGGCGAAGGCGGUUCUCUGGGCCUUACCUGACGCUGAGGAGCGAAAGCGUGGGGAGCGAACAGG